AUUGAACGCUGGCGGCAGGCCUAACACAUGCAAGUCGAGCGGUAGAGAGGUGCUUGCAUCUCUUGAGAGCGGCGGACGGGUGAGUAAUGCCUAGGAAUCUGCCUGGUGGUGGGGGAUAAACGUUCGGAAACGGACGCUAAUACCGCAUACGUCCUACGGGAGAAAGCGGGGGAUCUUCGGACCUCGCGCCAUUAGAUGAGCCUAGGUCGGAUUAGCUAGUUGGUGAGGUAAUGGCUCACCAAGGCGACGAUCCGUAACUGGUCUGAGAGGAUGAUCAGUCACACUGGAACUGAGACACGGUCCAGACUCCUACGGGAGGCAGCAGUGGGGAAUAUUGGACAAUGGGCGAAAGCCUGAUCCAGCCAUGCCGCGUGUGUGAAGAAGGUCUUCGGAUUGUAAAGCACUUUAAGUUGGGAGGAAGGGUAGUAACC
rnacentral:rRNA from 1 species